ACCUGCGGAAAGGAUCAUUG
rnacentral:rRNA from 1 species